UCCAAUGGCGCGCAGAAAAAAUCUUGCACACCUUCCCUUGAGGAAGGGAAAUGUCUGCUCCCACAAUUGAACCCUAGGAAGAAGAUGGAAAUAAUACCAGGAUUCAAAAUGCAAGGGGUGACUGAAAAAGGAGGCGCUCCUUUUCAUACAAGAGUUCCUGAAUUAACACAGGAAAGAAUGGAAGCAACACAAGAGCCAGGAACAGCAACUCCAGGAAUAAGGCCAUGGCUGGGGGAGAAAAAAA